UGUCAAGGGAUGGGAAUCGAACCCCCGACCUUCCGCUUACCGGGCAGAUGCCAUGACCACUAGGCUACCCUGGAC